rnacentral:rRNA from 1 species
GACGAACGCUGGCGGCGCGCCUAACACAUGCAAGUCGAACGAGCGAGAGAGAGCUUGCUUUCUCGAGCGAGUGGCGAACGGGUGAGUAACGCGUGAGGAACCUGCCUCAAAGAGGGGGACAACAGUUGGAAACGACUGCUAAUACCGCAUAAGCCCACGGUGCCGCAUGGCACAGAGGGAAAAGGAGCAAUCCGCUUUGAGAUGGCCUCGCGUCCGAUUAGCUAGUUGGUGAGGUAAUGGCCCACCAAGGCGACGAUCGGUAGCCGGACUGAGAGGUUGAACGGCCACAUUGGGACUGAGACACGGCCCAGACUCCUACGGGAGGCAGCAGUGGGGAAUAUUGCACAAUGGGGGAAACCCUGAUGCAGCGACGCCGCGUGGAGGAAGUAGGUCUUCGGAUUGUAAACUCCUGUUGUUGGGGAAGAUAAUGACGGUACCCAACAAGGAAGUGACGGCUAACUACGUG